AGACCCGAAACCCGGUGAUCUAGCCAUGGGCAGGUUGAAGGUUGGGUAACACUAACUGGAGGACCGAACCGACUAAUGUUGAAAAAUUAGCGGAUGACCUGUGGCUGGGGGUGAAAGGCCAAUCAAACCGGGAGAUAGCUGGUUCUCCCCGAAAGCUAUUUAGGUAGCGCCUCGUGAAUUCAUCUCCGGGGGUAGAGCACUGUUUCGGCUAGGGGGCCAUCCCGGCUUACCAACCCGAUGCAAACUGCGAAUACCGGAGAAUGUUAUCACGGGAGACACACGGCGGGUGCUAACGUCCGUCGUGAAGAGGGAAACAACCCAGACCGCCAGCUAAGGUCCCAAAGUCAUGGUUAAGUGGGAAACGAUGUGGGAAGGCCCAGACAGCCAGGAUGUUGGCUUAGAAGCAGCCAUCAUUUAAAGAAAGCGUAAUAGCUCACUGGUCGAGUCGGCCUGCGCGGAAGAUGUAACGGGGCUAAACCAUGCACCGAAGCUGCGGCAGCGACACUGUGUGUUGUUGGGUAGGGGAGCGUUCUGUAAGCCUGUGAAGGUGUGUCGUGAGGCAUGCUGGAGGUAUCAGAAGUGCGAAUGCUGACAUAAGUAACGAUAAAGCGGGUGAAAAGCCCGCUCG
rnacentral:rRNA from 2 species